ACUCAAAGGAAUUGACGGGGGCCCGCACAAGCAGCGGAGCGUGUGGUUUAAUUCGACGCAACACGCAGAACCUUACCCAGGCUUGACAUGCCGCUGCACACCACAGAAAUGUGGCUCCUUCGAGGGUGCGGCACCGGUGCUGCAUGGCUGUCGUCAGCUCGUGUCGUGAGAUGUUGGGUUAAGUCCCGCAACGAGCGCAACCCUUGCCCCGUGUUACAUGUGUCACGGGGGACUGCCGCUGGGUUCCAGCGGAGGAAGGCGGGGAUGAUGUCAAGUCCGCAUGGCCCCUACGCCUGGGGCGACACACACGCUACAAUGGCCGGCGGAGCGCGCCGCGACCCUGCAAGGGGGAGCCAAUCGCCAAGGUCGGUCGCAGUGCAGAUUGGGGGCUGCAACUCGCCCCCAUGAAGACGGAGUUGCUAGUAACCGCGUGUCAGCAUAGCGCGGUGAAUACGUACCCGGGCCUUGUACACACCGCCCGU
rnacentral:rRNA from 1 species